UACGUAGGGGGCAAGCGUUGUCCGGAUUUAUUGGGCGUAAAGAGCGUGUAGGCGGCCAGACAGGUCCGUUGUGAAAACUCGAGGCUCAACCUCGAGACGCCGAUGGAAACCGUCUGGCUAGAGUCCGGAAGAGGAGAGUGGAAUUCCUGGUGUAGCGGUGAAAUGCGCAGAUAUCAGGAAGAACACCCGUGGCUAAGGCGGCUCUCUAGGACGGUACUGACGCUGAGACGCGAAAGCGUGGGGAGCGAACAGG
rnacentral:rRNA from 1 species